GAUGAACGCUAGCGCCAGGCUUAACACAUGCAAGUCGAGGGGUAUAUGUCUUCGGAUAUAGAGACCGGCGCACGGGUGCGUAACGCGUAUGCAAUCUGCCUUUCACAGAGGGAUAGCCCAGAGAAAUUUGGAUUAAUACCUCAUAGUAUUAUGUUUCGGCAUCGAGAUAUAAUUAAAGUCACAACGGUGAAAGAUGAGCA
rnacentral:rRNA from 1 species